UGGGGAAUAUUGGACAAUGGGCGAAAGCCUGAUCCAGCCAUGCCGCGUGUGUGAAGAAGGCCUUUUGGUUGUAAAGCACUUUAAGCGAGGAGGAGGCUACUAGUACUAAUACUACUGGAUAGUGGACGUUACUCGCAGAAUAAGCACCGGCUAACUCUGUUCCAGCAGCCGCGGUAAUACAGAGGGUGCGAGCGUUAAUCGGAUUUACUGGGCGUAAAGCGUGCGUAGGCGGCUGAUUAAGUCGGAUGUGAAAUCCCUGAGCUUAACUUAGGAAUUGCAUUCGAUACUGGUCAGCUAGAGUAUGGGAGAGGAUGGUAGAAUUCCAGGUGUAGCGGUGAAAUGCGUAGAGAUCUGGAGGAAUACCGAUGGCGAAGGCAGCCAUCUGGCCUAAUACUGACGAUGAGGUACGAAAGCAUGGGGAGCAAACAGG
rnacentral:rRNA from 1 species